UAAUCUUACCACUUCUUGUAUAUUACAUGUAUGUCAAAGUAUAUGUAUUACAGGUGUUGCAUGGCUGUCUUUAGUUCGUGUUGUGAAAUGUUAGGUUAAUUCCGAUAACGAACGCAACCCUUGUCUUUAAUUUAAAGAAUAAUAAAAUAAUAACAAUUAUUAUUGACUUAAAGAAGUAUCUUUCCAUAAGAAAGAGUAAUUAGGAUGAAGACAAGUCCUCAUGACCCUUAUGAAGUGGGCUACAGACGUGCCACAAUGAUUUCCACAAUAGGAAGCAAAGACGUUAGGUCAGAGCUAAUCCCAGAAAAGAAAUAUAAGUACGGA
rnacentral:rRNA from 1 species